rnacentral:lncRNA from 1 species
UCAGCACCUCCCCCAGCCGUUUGAUCUCGCGGUCCCACUCAACUACAUCCUCCCGGCAAAUCUCCGGUACUUCUUCAGGAACAGCGGGAAUCGGGCCCAACCUCACUUGAAGCGUGUCCCUCCAGCUGGCGGCUUUUGAGCUGUAGAGGUCCACGUUGGAGAUAUACGAUACGCCCGUGCCCAUCUCUCUGCGGUAGAACCGCGCUUUCACCUCCGUCGGCUGCUCGUGGAAGGCCCUGACGGCUGCGAUCGUGCGGUCAAGAGUUACCGAUGGGAUGCCGUGAUUAGUGAUCUGGAAGAACCCGAACGUUCGGCAGGCGCGGCUGAUUUGGUCAACGACGGAGGAGCGGCGAUCGGUGUGAAGAUCCGCCAGGUCGAUGGUGGGGAUUGGGGUAUCGGGUUUGGUAUGAUGUCGGGGGUCGGGUAGAGAUUCGGGUGGGUGGACGAAGAAGCGGGGGAUGGAGGUGAGGCCUGAGUCAACGAGGCCUUUAACCCCGAACUUGGAUUGGUCGAAUUUCUUGACUUCUUCAGCUCUAUCGUAAUCCCGUUCACCGCCGAUCGUGGUGUUCGCCGCCAUGGUUUCUCUUUUUCCGGUCAGAGAAAAUUGCUUACCACAAAGUCCGAAAGGAUGAUACAGAGGCCCUGGAUUUAGGCAGCAGGCACUGUGUAUGAAUAAAUAAUGGUUUUGGUGGGAGAGAAUUCGGAUAAGACGUGUUGCCCCGGAACUCCAUCUUCAUUGCCAAUGGGUAAAUUACACUGUCGCUCCCUAGUGUUUUGUUCUUUUUUCAUAAAAGUCCAUAAAUUAUGAACAUUACAAUAAAACCCUUGAGGUUUAAAUCUAUUUUACUAACACCCCUAUGGAGUAGCAUGUAAUUUAAGAAAACUUUGAAAGGUUUGUAGAAACACGAAAAUUCUCAGUCAUCUCAGAUUCUCAAAAUGUCAAUUAGACAAAAAUAAGGGGAAUCAGAAAUAGAACCAAUCCAUCUGGUUGCGGUUUGGUUCGAUUUGGAAGAGAGAUAUUCUGACCAAACCGUCGGUGACGUUCAGUUCGGUGCGAUUUUGAGGCUUGAAUCAAAAUAGAACCAAAUCAUUUAUUUGCGGUUUGAUUCGAUUUCAAACGGUUUUUAUUUCAGUUUCAAACCAUUUGCAAACUAAAUGUUUUAUGUCAUUAAUACAACAUAAUUGAGUUAUGGCAUUAGUAAUACAACCCCAAAAAAUAAAUUGUUCAUGUAAUUCAACAAAAAAGUUUUGGUGUUUCAACUUUCAAGUUCCUACUUUGCAUUGUCCAACCCUUUCACUUUCCUUUUCGACACUUACUCUUCUAGAGCUUAUGAGGCCUUUAAGCUUGUGAAGGGGCUUAUCAGCGAUACCUCGGAAGAUCUUGGACGUUAUGAAAGUGAACCAAUGGAUGAGCAGCCAUUGAACCUUGUAAACUAAAAGCUUGAGAUCUUCUUGAAGCUUGUUAUUGUGGUUGGAUUAAGAGUAAGAGAGGCGAUGCUUGAAUUCAACUUGGCCAACUUUACACAAUACAAAAACAUAAACAAUAUAAAUUACAUUAGUUGUUCGAAACUUUUUGAAGCCCACAAAUAUAUUUUUUAUACUAUGUAGUUCGAUUUUAGACAUUAAGAACCAAUGCCAAACUGUUUUUUAGCUUGCGGUUCGGUUUCAAACCGAAACCGUUUCAAAAUCACAAAAACUGAACUGUUUGGUGCAGUACGUCUCAGUCCAUAUUAUAUUUUCGAUUUUCGGUUUCAAGUGCUCACCCCUAAUUACAGUUGGAAGCUAAGAACUAUCAAACAUUAAUAAAUUAAUAAAAAACACUAAUGUAAUUUAAUAAUUGCCAAAACCAAAUCCAUGAUCAGCACUAUCAAGAAAUAAGGCCAACUAUAACAUGAUUCACAGCUGCAAAAUACAAUAGUGAAUGGUUCAUACCGUUUUACAGCCUAAAGUGAUUGACCAAAGCUUUGCCAUCCAAUCCUUUCUUGAAGAACCUUUGCAGCAAUUCUGACAACGUAAAUUGCUGGUAAAGUGCCGGUUUCUCCGGCGAGACCAUCUCCGAUAGUGGACCAUACGUAUCCUCUGUAUUACUUGGCCUGAAGAACACUGCAAUUGCCACACGUGCUUCGUGUUUUGGGUUAGCUAACACCCGAUGAUCUACGCUUUUGUAUUCUCCGUUGGACAUAAUCUGAAAGUCAACCAAAGAUUCGUUCUUGUGACACAAUGAAAGUUACAGGUUAAGAAAUCACGAACAACCACCUUGCAUAUAAUUCUGGAAAAUUGAAAUACCAAAGCUUAUAUAUUCCCGUGGAAUCGUAACAACAGAAGAAAGUAAAACGAGAAAGUAUGAAAAUACUUAUUUCGGUUAAAUAUCAGAGAAAUUCUUAUAUUUCGUCUAAAUCAGUGCUUGAAAUUCUCUAAAUUUAAUAUUAAAUUUUCUGAAAAUAUGACUUUAACCCCUCAAACUCAAUUUCUUUCAUAUAAAACCCGACAUAACAUUUUUACUCGAAUAAAACCCAAUGACUAGACUUCACAUAAGCAAAUUCAUUAAUUAUGACAUUUUAAAUUUUUCGAAUGCCUAAAAUACCCCUUUUUGCAUGUUUAAUGUGCACAAUUAAACAUAUGCAGAUUUUAAGGAGGAUUAAUGAUUUUACAAAAAUAAAAUAAUAAAAAAGGCAUAAAUAUUCUAAAUGCAUUGCAUGUUAUAUGAAUUUGGUUGAUUCAUGUUUCUCUCACUUCAUAAAAUUUGCUUCUAAUUUGAUAUAGGAAUUAAUUUGGAAAGUUUUCUUAAUCUUAAUAACAAUUUUCAAUUUAAAUAUAUUUUUUAAUGAAAUAGUCUAUCUUUUAAAAUAUUUAUCAAUAAAAUAAUGUACCUAUAUAUAUAUAUAAUUUUUUUUUUGCCAACUAUAAAUUUUUACCAUAAUUUACCUAUAUAAUAAUGUACCUGUUAUUUAAUUUUUACAACACUAAUGUAUCUUAAAAAAUAAUUUACUUAUUGUUUAGUUUUAGCAAAAAUAAUUUACCUACUGUGUAUAAUUGGUGAAGCUAAUAUGAUGUACAUAUUGUUUAAUUUUUUAAAAAUUAAUGUAUGUACAAAAAUAAUUUAUCUAUUGUUCAAAUUUUAGGAUAAAAAUUUACAUGUUUUUAUUUAACAAUAAUGUAUCUACAAUUUUAUUUUUGUAUGAAUAUAAUUUACCUACUUUUUAAUUUUAUAUGAAACUAAUUUACCUACUGUGUCAGUAAUGUAUCUACAAUUUUACAUACAAUAUUUACCUUUUUUUUUUCACAACAAUAGUGUAUCUACAAUUUUGUUUUUGUAUGAAUAUAGUUUACCUACAAUUUAACUUUUCAAAAAAUGUAUCUUCUAUUUUAUAUUUUACUAUCAUAUAUAUGUUUCUGUGUUCGCAAAAUAAUUUAUCUAAAGUUAUAUAGUUAAGAGAUAUGCUAAUGAAUUAUAUUAAUUCAUUAUUAGACUGAUAUAAGAAAUUGUUAAAAACGUUAGCCAUAAUGGUUGGCUAAUAAUGGUUGUAUGAGAACAGUUAUAGAAAGUUGUGGCAUAAAUUGUAAAUAACUUAUAUUAAUAUGUUACUUAUUUUCUUAUGUGGUAAUUUAUUUAAAUUUUGGGUUUUGAUUGAAUGUUUAUUCAUAGGUGGGUUUUUAUCUGAAGUAUAUGAGUUGUAUGGGUCUAUAUCUAAACAACCCUUAAAUUUUCAUCAUUUCUAUUGAAAACAGUCAAUAUCGAAAUUGUUACGAUAUAUUCUUUGAUAUUUUCACCAAUAUUUCGACACUGAAUUUAUCUUUAUUAGAGAACAUCGGCAGUGAGAUCAGUUUUGUAGUUGAACUACAUUUACCUGAAGUAAAUCCCCGACGUUGAUAACAAGAGCACCGGGGACCGGCUUCACAUCCAGCCAACCCUCACCGUAUUUAACCUGCAAUCCACCCGUUUGGUCCUGAAGCAGCACGGUCAAAACUCCCGGGUCAGAAUGAGACGCAAUCCCCACCGUCAGAUCAGGCUGCGGGCAGUAGGGGUAGUAGUGGCCCACCAUCAUCCUCCCUUCUAGACACGUCAUCUCCCUCAAUCUCCACGCAUUCAAUCCCAGUCCUUCGCUCACCAGCUCCAUCAACACGCCUCCCAGCCGUUGGCUCUCCUGAUCCCACUCAGCAACCGCAUCCCGACAGAUCUCAGGCACCUCUAGAGGAUUCGCCGGCGUGGGGCCCAACCUAACUGCUAGCGUGUCCCUCCAGCUGGCGGCUUUUGAGCUGUAGAGGUCGAAGUUGGAGGCAUAAUUUACGCCCGUCACCGUAUCCCUACGGUAGACCCGUGUUUUGACCUCCGCCGGCUGCUCGUGAAAGGCCUUGAUGGCUGAGAUCGUACGGUCCAGAGCUGCCAACGGGAUUCCGUGAUUUGUGACCUGGAAGAAACCGAACUUUCGACACGCCUGGUUGAUUUGGUCAACGAUGGAUGAACGGUGAUGGGUGUGCAGGCCGGCGAGGUCGAUGGUGGGGAUCGGUGUUUGUUGGGAAUCGGAUUUUGUAUCGGGUAGAGUUUCGGGUGGGUGGAUGAAGAAGCGGGGGAUGGAG